UUCAUUCAUAGAUCAUCCUAACACAAAAUUAGACAAAUCGGAAACCGUUUCGACAUCCAAUUGUGUCUUACAAAAUCAAUGAACACGGUACUUCAAGAAAAUGCUAAAAUUUCAAUAACUUAAUUGAGUGGUCAAAUGAUAUCGGAUUCAAGUGAUUUUUUGUAGGGAUGAUCUUUGAAUGAGUAUCUACAAAAUAGACGGUUUGGAUUAAUGAAAUACAAUCCGAAGUGGGGCCUACAAGGGGUGUCCCUCAAAUAAGCUUAUUUGAGGGAUCCCUCAAUGGAAGCUCUCUGUAUAUAUAUAUAUAUAUAUAUAUAUAUAUAUAUCAAAUGGAUGAUGUGCCUACUCUCAAGCACUGGAUCAUUUGGAUGGUCUAGAUUUUAUGAAAUGCGGAUAAAUACAUAAUCUCUAAAUGCAGAAAUUUGGGAUACCCUCUAGAAAAUAAUAAAUAACUAGCUAAUGAC
rnacentral:lncRNA from 1 species